UACCUUUAUUGAUGCAUUCAUGAUUACAUUAUAAGCCUAUGCUGUAAUGGAUGAAGAUUGCAGUGAAAUUUCCAGAAAAUACUUAUGAUGACGUUGCAAGUUCAUCACUCCAUCUACGUUUGGCGAAUGGAAUACAUAGGAUGAUUUAAAAAAUAAAAAAGGCAUCCUAUACUUGUAUAUCCCGAAUGCCCCAGGUUAGAAGAAGAAAUUAUGGACCUAGGUGAAGAAGACAUUGAACGUCAGAGAUAGAGAGGAAGAAGAACGAGAAAAAUGUAUUUUGAGUAUUAUUGGAAAUGAAGAAGGGCAGAACACCUCGCCAGAACAAAUGACAACAGAUGACGAAGUUAACAACUGAAUUGACUCCCAGAAUAGGCACACGAGGUCGAGGAAGACAUAAAUUCAGUUGGAGCAUGGAGGUACGUAUUUUAUACCUCCAUGGUUGGAUGUAUGAGAUCAUGUGUUUUGCCUGUAUUUCCUGGGUAAGUGUUGCACAGGGCAGACGACGUGGAUGGUGUCAGCUUGGGGAGGCCUUCGCCCUGCAGUGGGCCGAUAACGGCUAAAAUGAACAAGUAGGAGGGGAAGCCGGCCCGGCCU